GCCGGGGUGGCCGAGGGGUAAGGCGGCGGGCUGCAGACCCGCAUAGGAGGGUUCAAGUCCCUCCCCCGGCU
rnacentral:tRNA from 1 species